UCACGAUGACAGGAGCCAUGUGCGUAACUAUAAGGCUACCUCGUGUUCGUACGUAAUACGCUCGGUUGUUACCUUCGGUAGUUUGCGUCCCGGUGUUAGGGUACGCGAAUUUCGGUAGUUUCUUUGCGAGAUGCUACUGAUUUCCCAGGCAUAUGGAAAAGUUAUAGAGUUUAUUGUUUAUAAAAAAAUCCCCCCAGACAGAGUGUUUCGCAAAAUACACAGUGCUCAUUUGGAAAUAUUCAAAUAUCAAAAACAAUGCCAACAACAGCAAAAGUGAAAAUCAAAAUAAUUAAGUUUGCUAUGAAUUUUAAAUGAAAUCUUAGUCUACGGCUGAAUAUCCUAAUUGAUCAACAAACAAUACUGCAACAGUUGUACAGUAGAAAGAAUGUAACAAGUAGAAUGCCGUAAAACGCAAAAUGAAACAAAGUUUCUUUACCGAUGCUGCAAUGGACCACCCCGUGUAGAGCAUUUCUUGCAAAAUAGAAACAACGGCAGACAAACGCGGUACACUAAAUUCACCAUCUUGUUGCUCAAUUUUUCUCGCUACUAUGUCGAUCAUUUUGCACGGUUGAGUAUUUCUUGCCGCAUUGUUUCAGUGCUUUGUGAAAAAUAUCUACGAAACUUUUCUUCAACCACUCAUUGUUUGGAAAAGAUACAAAAAAAGAAAACAGUGAGACAGUAUCAAUUCUAACUAAAUGCAACAAGAAAAAGUGUAAAACAAAAAAAAAACCGUACAAAAUGGAAGACCAAAGUGAAGAAAAAAAAAAUCGCACACAAACAAUGUCAAACUUUUGCGACGAAAUUUGUGAACACAACUUAAAGUGAAGCUUUUACUCUAACUUAAACUGCAUUGCACCUGCGUUUCUCUACACUAUAUGUAUGGCUUUAAGGCAUUGCAAAAUACAGAAAACCUCAAAUUCGGUCAUCUGUGUUCAAAACUAAAGUUUAUGUUGUGUGAAGCGAACGAAUUUCAUAAAAAUAUUUUAACGAUUAAAAAAAAAUAAACAAAACAAUAGACAUACAAGAUCAUAAUUACGAUUACAAUCAACAACGAUGGUCUAUGUGUGUGCUAUUAUGUUCUUAUUAACAUGGUGAUAAUAAAAGUGCUGUUCGAAAGUCUACUGGUGCGUAUCUAAUUAUCUAAUCCAAUUCGAAAGGAAAUGCCCGGAUAAUACGUUUCACUCAUCCUUCGACACUCAAAUCAACGAAGUGGAAUUUCCUGCGACACCUGCCUAAAUCAUGCCAUUUUCUCGGUACACUUCAUACAAUACGUCAUUGACGCCGAAAGUAUCGGAUGUCAACCUGCAGCAGCAUAAGCCAUUUGCAUGGCAGUAGGGCACCCGAGAAAAGACAAUUGAUACGUGAUUGAAAGGCUAAGUGAUAAGAGUUUGAUUUUUAAUUGAAAUUCCAACACUCGUCAAUCGAACGACAACUGCCAUUUGAUGAGCAAAGUGAAAAGCAACACGAUCCAGUGAAAGAACUGACGUAUAGGCUCGAUGCAACAGUGACGACAUCGGUGUACGAAGAGUAGAAGGGAAAACGGGAGCGCCACACGGAAGAAGCGGAGAAUGGGUGCCUAUAGCUUUUCUGUGCACCAGUCAAACGGCUUCAAAUCGAUGUGCUAUAGCAUUGCCUACGAAUAUAAUUGUGUGUCAGUGCCGGUUGUUGACGAAUGGAAGAGAAGCACGAAACAUUAGCAAAAACCCAAGAACGAAAGAGAGCAAUAAUAUCCAGAUUGCACCGUGCAAGGAAUAACAACAAAAAAAAACGCUCCACACAAUAGGAUAGAUGUUCUUUAGACUCGACAGCACAUGGUGCUAUAUCAAGGCAGGUGGCUGACGUUUGAGGUGUUGCUGCUGUUGUUUGCCAGGACGGGAUUUUGACGCGUUCGGAAAUGGGUUGAACACCAGCUGAAAUCAACGUUGGUAACCAGCAAAAAAUCUGUCUUGUCCCAAUAUCGGGAAUGUUGUAAAUCGAUGAUUCGAUGAUGAAGUUUUUUUUAGUGAACGUAUUGCUGGCACAACAUUAUUCAUGUCUAUGAGGGCAUGAACCGCAAGUACAUUGUCUUCGUAUUAAACCACACGAAAAGCUUUAAAAAUUCAAAUGAGUUAUAAGAAUACAAAAAGGAAUAUUGCAGAGUAAGCUCCUGGAACUCUUUUCCAACACAGCUGAUCAAAGAUACUUUUUGGAACAGUUUUACGACCGCAGUUAAUCAUCUUGUGUGCGCGACCGUGUACGGAACCAUCCCAACACAGGGGGUUCUAUUAUUUCUGCAUAGUCUUCCAGUGUGAGUCUACAGGACAGCAAAACACAACCACAACCACUUCGCUGACAACGAGCAGCAACAGCAGCAGCAACAGAAGCCAGAAGCGUUGGCAUCGCUUCACUUCGGUGAAUCGGUGUUUCUAUGCCAUCUAGC